GGUGAUGUGGCUGCUUUGGGGUUACCCCACCCUUGUUCCUAUAAGUAAGUGUCAUAACUGUAUCAGUUCAUCAAGGCGGACAUGGAGGGAACCCUUACUUUGGUCUGUCUGAAUAGGCAUUUGUUCACCUCCCCAGGAGAAGUAAGGCAGGAAUCCCUAAGCUGGUUUCUGUCUAAUAAUUUUCUAAAAUCUUUAAAGAUUCGUGCAGUAGUUUUAGGUGGAAUAGUACAUUUUAAAAUGUUUUACAUGUAUUUGUGUGUGUAUGUCUGUGUGUCCAUGCCAUGGCACGUGUGUGGAGGUCAGAGAGCAACUUGUGGGAGCCGAUUUUCUCCUUUCAGCAUGUUGAGUUCUGAGAAGCAAACUCAGGUUUUUCCUUAUGCCCACCUCUGAUGCUUUGUCCUCUGAAGCCUCUUGCCCAUCCAAAAGUACACGUUCAAAAGGUUUCUUUAUAUUAUUUCUAACUAUAUGAAGGCAUGCGUGUAUGCGCACAUGAGACCCAGUGCCCGAGGAGGCCAGAGGUUUUAGAUCCUGUGCACCUAGAGUUUCAGAUGGUUGUGAGCCUUCCACAGUGUGGGUACUGAAUGGAAGCUGGACUGCUUUACAGUCUACACCUUCUAGGAAGCAGUACAGAUCCGAGACAGAUGAUUAAAGCAGGAGGGGGCCUUGCUUGCCACACAAGACACAUCUUACAUCUUAUGCAAUAAUAUCUGGUUUGUCUCCAAAGACAAAGUAAACAAAACAAAUUGGCUCUAAGCACUUGUAAAUUAGUCUGUUCUGGUGACAAAAGUUGUUGGUAGAGGGAUGGCUCUGAGCUAUAGGUGUUCUGUGGACCUGUGGGUUUCCAGGAGUUGGGAGGCAAAGGAAUCAUUCUCCUUGUAGAGUCUGAAGAGCAACCCCACCACUGUUCAGUGCCAAAGACUAUAGUUUAAACAGUUGGGAUCUUUAACACUCGGACAGAGAGCUGAUGCAGCCCUGCUGAGCUCUGAAUUUCAAAAUGAGGAGAGCAGAGGAUCCUAACAGCCAUAUAAGACAGAAACUACUGUUUCUGGCUCUUCUCCUGCUGGUGCAGAGUAGUAACCUGAUGGGCUUAGAGCCUCUGGCAAGCUUAAAGCUAGCCACCACCUAGGUGUUCGGUUUCUAACCUUGUUGGUAAAGCCAAACCACACGCACUUGGUUCUGAGAAAACCAACCAAUAAUGUAAGAGUCAGUUCCAGAGACUAACUGGCAGUUCGCAGGACCUGGGAAGUUUGAGCAGACGUCUUGCUCUUACUGGCCUGGCCUGUCUUUCCCCUGUUAAGAAGACAAAUGCCCUUUCUGGCUCUGAGCUCACUCCAGCUAUAACUUGAUAAACAUAUAUUAGUUUUCCUUCCUUCCUUCCUUUUCUCUCUCUCUCUCUCUCUCUCUCUCUCUCUCUCUCUCUCUCUCUCUGUCUCUCUCUCCUACCCUCCCUCCCUUCUUCCUUCCUUCCUUUCUUCCAAUCCCUGCUUCCUUGUGUUUCUCCAUCCCUUCCUUUCACACAGUCCAGGCUGUCCUCUAAAUCCUUAAAUAGUAAGGGUGACCUUGAAGUUCUAAUCCUCCUGCCUUCACCUCCCAUGGCUAGGAUUAGAGAUUCAGACCAUCAUGCCUGGUUUCAUGCUGAGCUGGAAAUGAUACCCAGAGCUUCCUGAAGGCUGGACAAACACUUGAGCAACAAACCUACUUUCCUCAGCCCAUGUAUGCCUAUUUCCGGAGAGGACUAUCAAUAUACUUAGGAUAAAGUGUGGCAAAGGCUGGCAAAAUCCAUCUCUGACAUGUUUGCCUACAAAUCCAGCUUUUCCCUAUCACUUGUACCCAAAGGCCUCGUGAAGUAGGUAAAAUUGAGAAUGGACAUAAGAAUUCAUUUCUGGUCUAUCUUCCUCUAAGACCUGCCCAUGCCUGCGUACAUGCGCACGUGCGUGCAUGUGUGUGUUAGUUUAUUUUAUUUUGUAUUGACAAACUUGUAAUCUUCCCACCUUAGUCGACUACUUGCUGGGAUUAUAGGCAUGAGCUACCAUGCCUGGUUCGCUUUCUUCACUCUUAAGAAAGAGAGAGAGGCAUUGGGGGUUGGGGGAGGGGGGCACAAUUGCAGAGUGACUUGCUAAGACUGCCCGCUGGUCUUUAGAAGAACUCUGUCUUGAGUCCCGUGUGACGUCCGCACUGCGUGGUCCCAGAAUGUGAUGUGGGUGAUGACUAGGAAUGGCCUGCUUCCUAGCCCUGCCAUCCCAAGGCCAUCGCUCUGGAUCACAGUCUUAGUCUCCUUUGUCCUUUCCGGGAUUAUCACUGUAUGGUUUAAAUGCAUAUGCUUCUUCAAACUUAAACCCUAAGGUGACUAGAUGAGGUCACAGGGGGUAGGGGGUGGAUGAGGCUAUGAUGCUCCAUUCUCAAAGAUGUUAUCCAUUCCCUUAUAAAAAGCUAUGAGGGCACACAUUUAUCCCAUUUUGUCCUUCCAGUCUGCAUGAGGACACAAUAGACUGAGUGAAGCCCUUCUUCCACAACCAAGUCAUUUGGUACUGUCACCUUAGACUUCAUCCCCCAGACUAAAGAAUUGUGAGGAGUACGUUUAUGUUAUUUGUUAAUUACGUCAUUCAAAGGCAUUUUGCGAUUGCAGCAGGGUUGGACAAAGGUAAUUACCUAAUUGUCACCGGGCCUCUGUGUAUUAGUCAGCUUUCUGUUGCUGCGACAACAUACCCGAGACAUACGACUGGAAGGGAGAAAAGGUUUCAGUCCCUCAUCACUUGUCUAUUUAUUGCUUUAGGCCUGUAGCAUACGAUAAGGGUGACCUUGGGAGCCAGGAAGUGAAUGACUGAGAGAAGCAAGGCCAUGAUUUCAAUAUCCCCUUUAUGGCUGCAUUCCCAGUGACCCAACUUCCUCCCACUAGGGUUUAACUCUCAGCAGUUUUGACCGAUCCCAAUAGCACCACAGCUUGGAGACCAAGUUGUUAGUCCAUGAACUUUGGAGAGGUAUUAAAGAUACAGGAUAUAGCACGUGUUUCCUGAUAGGAAUAAGCUACAGAUGUAUGACCUUGUCCUGAUUCACAUUUACAAUAAGAGGGGGCAUCAGUUGACACUGUGGCAUGUUUUGCUGGUGGGACAUUCAAUGGUAUAAAUAGGGACCACAUAACAUCAUCAUGUGACUUUUUGUUUGGCCUGGUAUGCCUUAACCCCGAGGUGGACCUUAAUUGGUUUCAGGUGUAUGGUUAGUAGGUUCAUGAUGUUCUCAAUCUUCCUUCGGCCUCCCACUGCCCUACAAUGUCUUCGCCUUGGGUUGUGCUUUGAGCUGGAACUCGGUGGGGGUUGGGGGAGGUAAAGCUCUCGUGAAGAUGCUCUGUCUUUAUCACAUGUCUGAAAUCUCUGCUGCAACGGAAGAGAAGCCAGAGACGGAUGAUAAUUACCGAGAUUCAAUUCCUCGGACCUCUCAAUGGGAACCUCAGGCAGGGCCCAGAGAAGGGCUCAAAUAGCAAAGCUCUGUAAGUGCAUGGCUUACCAGGAGCCUAGGUAUUGUUUAAAAUGGGGAGAAAUGUGCUUUGAGCUCCGAACUGUGGGUGAUCUAAGGAAAGAAUAAGAGUCAACACUGGGCCUUGGCAGAGUAGUCCAUAGUGGCCUUUGUGACACUGCGUAUUUGAUAAAUAGUCCAAUUUCAGUCUUCUCAUCUUAUGUGGCCCAUAUAGCUAAUGGUUCAGCAGUUCCUUGUCUCCUGUCCUGAUCUGUGGCUGAGUGAAAAGGUAAGUGUCUCUGUAGGUACCCGCUAACCCAUCUACAGCCAAAACCAAAUAAGAAAAUGUAGAAAAGUUUUUAUAUCAAGAAUGUCUUGGGCUGGGGAUAUAACAUAGUGGGUAGGGUAUUUGCAUGACAUGAACACGGUCUUGGGUUCAAUCCUUCAGCACUGCAUAGAACCCCAACGCUCCUGUAAUCCUCUCAUUGCUGUAGUGGGAGAAGACUCCGGGAUUCAAGGACAUCCUUAGCUAUGCAUGGAGCCCAGUCUGGAUUACAUAAGAUCCUGUCUUUAAAAACAUAAUUUAUUUCAAAAAGCAGCCCCGAGAAUAUGCUGUUAUUUUUCCCUGUGAAGAUUUUCUAAGCCUUUGUGUUUCUGGCUCUAUGGGUAAAUAAUCGGAAGAAGAAUAGUCUUUCUUGUGGAGGGAAGGGAAAAGACCAUGUCUUGGGCACUAGGGAAGCCUGAAGAAUUUACAUGUCAUACCUGCUGUAAUGCAUUCAUGACCCAAGGUUACACAAAACACUUAAGUGUUUGGAUCUCUUGAUAUGGAAAGUCGGCAAAAGUGCUUCGUGCCAUUUUCCAUUGCUCUUCCAAGAUCACAUCUGCUUGGAACUGAACGUAGCAUGUGUUCUGGGGAACCUGUAUGAAAUUAACUUUUAUAGCUGACUUUACAACCAGGAUCUUUUAUUGUCUACAACUUGGCUGGGGUUCAAGAAGUUCCCAAGAUGAUUUACUGUCAUAUGUGCCUAUUGUAUGGUGGUUGAUGAAGCCAAUAUAUUACUGAACAUAUGCAGUCAUUUUGGCUGCAGCCAACAGGUCAUCUAAGCCUUUUAUCUGAAAGGAUUGAGGAGCUUACAUUGCAGAAGGGGGAUGGGGUGUUGAGUAUUUUAAGUGAAAUAAUUACUUGCAGGACCAAAACAGUUGUGUCCAAGUCUGUAAUUCCUCUCUGCUUGCCAAUACUGUAAAAGCUUACUAGAAUCUAGAAUACGUUGUUUCAACAAAGAUUGAAGGUAAUAUCUUCCAAAUAAAUGCAUGAUUACAUUUGUAUAAUAUCUCAGAUGGUUCGUUCAAUUUAUUUGACUAUGGCACUAAGAAUAAAGAUCAGGAAUUUAAAUUUUCUUGGUUCCUAAAGCAACUCUACCCUAAGCCUUUCCCAAGUUAACAGAGAGGCCCUUUUAAGGUAACAUUGUCUUCACAUCGAGAAAAACUUGGUAAAGAGGACGAUAGAAACGAUGGAAUUUCCCUUUAGGAGGAGAAAAUCUUCAGAAACUUGAUUUUAUGUUCGUGGAUCAGGAGAAUUUCCAUCUCUCUCUCUCUCUCUCUCUCUCUCUCUCUCUCUCUCUCUCUUAAGAUUUAUUUAUAUAUUUCAUGUAUGUGAGUACACUGUUGCUGUCUUCAGAUACACCAGAAGAGGGCGCCAGAUCCCAUCACAGAUGGUUGCGAGCCACCAUGUGGUUGCUGGGAUUUGAACUCAGGACCUCUGGGAGAGCAGUCGGUGCUCUUAACCGCUGAGCCAUCUCUCCAGCCUGAGAAUUUCCAUUUUCAAUAGUAGCUUAUGAUUUGAUUAAAUUGGAAUACAGGAAAGAAAAGGGUUAGAUAUAAUUCUAGGCUCUGCAUUUCCAGCAUCAACGAUAUUUGAUUGUAUGACAAAACUUUAGAGAGCACUGUAGCCUGUCUCAGCCGAGAGCUAACAUUUCAGUUAGAAACUGAUAGUCAAAGAUCUGGAAGUUUCAGAUAAAUUUGAACACUAAGGCCAAAGUCUGCAGACAUUAGGCUAUGAGAAGCCUUGGAUCCAAAUUGCUAGUUAUAAUAUCAGGAGGAAACAAGAAAAAGCCAUUAAAUAUUAUAUACAUAUUUGUCUACUGGGUCAUUUGUAAGGUAAACUGAAUUAAACUUAGGUGGAUGGGGGUUUAUUGCUUUGUUUUACGGGACCACACUAUGUAGCCCAGGCUGGCUUUGAACUCUCCAUCCUCCUGAGUGCUCAGAUUAGAAGCAUGAGUCACUACAAUCAGUUUUUCCCUUUACUUAAUGUAAAAAACAAAACAAAACAAAAAAAAAAAAAACAAAAAAAGCUUCCAACUCUCUGGGAACAGAAUUUGUAGCUAAAUUUGGGAUCCUGUUGAAUCCUCACAAAGGUUAUUUUUCUUUAAAGUGGAAGUAAUCUAUAUAUUUACCCCUCUAUUCACCAUCAUAAGGAGUUUGGGUAACAAUGAAUAAUCAUUCUUUCUCUCCCUUCCUUCCUUCCUUCCUUCCUCCCUCCCUCCCUCCCUCCCUCCCUUCCUCCCUCCCUCCCUCCCUCCCUUCCUCUCUCUUUUCCAGUUAGGUGGCCCAAACUCUUCUAAUUCCCCAUGCCUCUCAGGUUGGUCUUGAACUGUAGUAAUUCUCCCGUCACAUUCUCUCAAGUGCUGGUAUCACAAGUAUCCUUGCCUUUGUACAGACAGGAAGCCAAAAGCUGAGUCUACGGAUUUGGCCUUGACGACAAAGCAGCUUAACAUUAAUCCCACCCACACUGGCUUGUGUUUCUGUCCUCAAACUGACCACGGAACAGGACUGAGUCCCAGAGGUGCAAAGGUCCUUGCUCUAGCCUGACUUUACCUUCAUCCCUUUAAUGUGUUAAGAUGAUUGGUUAUUCGACGGAAUAAUGUGUUAAUAAAGUUUAGAAAUACCAUUUAUUUAGCAUUAUGUAUGUGAGUUCCUGACUGAGCACACCCAUUUCCCAGAACAUAUGUGAAGGCCAGAGGACAGCGGGAGGGAGUCAGUUCUCCUCUUUUGUCUUGAUAUCAAACUCAGGAUUCAGACUUGGUGUGUAGUUUUACCUGCUGAACUAUCUCACCAUGUUCUCCAGGCAGGGCAACAUAGCUUUGAGUAAUGAACUAAUCUGUUCUCAGUGUUAGACAAGCCCCUUCACCACAGGCCGUCAGUCCAGGACAGUAUGAUUCCGAAGCUCUAUGGGUCAGGCCGAAAGGGAUCUUUCUGUCCUCGAGGCCGGAAGCAAGCAAUUCAAGAGCACAUCUUUAGCCGGAGGCCUCUCUUCCUGUAGAAGGGAAGUCAGCACAUUUUCAAAGUGUUCCGAAACAGUCAAAUGGGAGGCAUGUUAAUUUGGUGUAAAACUUCAUGUGGCGUUUUACUAAUGCCAAAGAACAAAGCAUGGAGGAUCUGGUGACUAAUUACUAACAGCACUGUCACUAUUUUAUGUAAGUGUGAACAAGGGUCAUAUGUUUCUUAUAGUUGGUCCUGUUGGCGCUCUCCGUCUCACUGGUUAAAUCAUUGUAAUGAGUAGCAAGUAGAUCACUGAGAGCUGCCUACUGUGGGCUCCCCUCUGAACAGUAUUUUGUACUCAUGCCCAGAGGCUCUGGAGGCCAAGGACGUUCUUUAAAUACAGGCAACAGUUAAUCUCAUAGAUUUGAUGCUGGAGAUCUGCUGUAAUACUUAAAGGGGAUGCCGCUGGGAUUUGGUACUACAUGAAGUGGUAGACAGCCAGAUGGAGUCAUGUUGCUGUCCCAGGAACCCGCACUUGCUGAGAGUUCUAGGUCUUUCUAUAGAAGUAGAGCAAACAAUAGACCUUAGCAAAUAAAAAAAACUAUAUGCUUUCGAGGAUUCUGGGAGGGGAAUGGGAUUUGAUAUUUGUUUAAGACCAGAGCAGUGGCCAUGGACACUUGGGUUGGCUUUCUUUUAUCUUGUGUGUGUGUGUGUGUGUGUGUGUGUGUGUGUGUGUGUGUGUAGAAUUGAACCCAAAGUUUUAUUUAUAGUAAACAAGUAUUCUAUUACUGACCAUAUAUAUAAUAUAUAUUUAUAUAUAUACAUAUACAUAUAUAUAUAUAUGUAAAAUUUCAAAGGUCUCAUAUGUUGCCUGAGCUGUUCUUAACUGUGCUUCAGAGCUCAGACAGGCCUUGAAUUUCCAGUCCUCUUGCCUCAGCCUAUCAAGUAGCAGAGGUUAUUAGGUUACACCAUGAGGCCUUCUCUAGCUUAUUAAUACUUUAAAAUGAUGUUAUAUUCAAAAAUCUCGAGGAGACGUAACACUCAGGACAAAAAAAGACAUCCCCCACCCUCCCACAUAAGACCUGGGUGCUCAGGCUCCUUAGUAAGGGCUGGUGGGUGGUUUGUGUGCUUAAAAUAAAAAGGGAAGGUGGCAGGAUAGGUGCUGUAUACCUUAGAUCCCAGUACUUGGAAAGCUGAGGCAGGAGGAUCUUGAAUUUGAGGCUACAUAGGUUGCCUCCAACAACAAACUCCAAUGAGAAGAGAUGCUGAAGGGAAAGACAGAAUAAUUUAAAAGAAAAGGCCUAAAUCACAGAAUCUCAAAGUGUGCUCUAAGGGGAUCUAAAUGCAAUUGUUCUGUCUGUCAUUUGCCCGAUGGGGCGCAGGGCAGAUCGGAGCUUGCAGCUGUUUAAUGGGAGAAUGAGAAUUAGGUUGGUCUCCUAAGCCUCCUGCCCAGUGAAUGGAGAGGUCUCCCACAAUGCCACUUCCUUAAAAUCUUUCUCAUUUCUGAGUUCAUCUCCCCCAGGACAGCAUCUGUGGAGAGAUCUCUGAUCUCAUUCCUCGAGAUGUCAGUGCAUUUGUUGUCCAGCGUGGCUCCAUCUCACAGACCUUGAUCUUGAAGGAUGCUCCAACCACCUCCUCGGGCGGGCCUGUGGACUGGACUCAGAAAAUCCGGCUGUGUUCUUGUUCCUGUCAAGUCCCAGAAUCCCUUAGGGAGUAGCGCUAUUAGGAGGUGUGACCUUGUUGGAAGAAGUGUGUCGCCGUGGGGGUGGGCUUCGAGAGACCUUCCUCUUAGCUGCCUGGAAGCCAGUCUUCUCCUGUCUGCUUUUUGGAACAAGAUGUAGAACUCUCAGCUCCUCCAGCUCCCAGCCCGCCUGGAUGCUGUCAUGCUCCCUGCCAUGAUGAUAAUGGACUGAACCUCAGAACCAGUAAGAAAUAAGAGUUGCUUUGGUCAUGGUGUCCCUUCACAGCAAUGGAAACCCUCGCUAAGACGUUUGUCUUUGUUUGGUGUUACUGGCAUGAAGGUGGCCUGUGGACUGGAAAGCAACAGGUCUGAUGAAGACCCCACGGGUGUCUGAUCCUCCACCAUCGCUUUUGAAGCUUCCCUUGUGCCUAUACUGAGGUAGGCUUUGUGUUCUAUAUUACAUUUCCUUUCCAGGCAGAAUGCAGAUAAUACAAAUUAUUCAACGGCCUGAAUCAUGAACAUUUGUACUAGAAAUGCUGAGUCCUGAUUCUCCCAAGAAGUGACUCAUAAUUAAUAUACUGUAUUUCAUAUACAACAAACAGAGAAACCCAGGGAGGAAUACUGCAUGAAUAUUUUAAAUAUGCAAAAACCAUGAAAAGCUCCCUUAGAUUUAGUUCACACUGUGCUCUUGCCUUAGAUACUGCAAAGAUUUUGAAAUAAAAAAGAUUUUCCAUUUUACCUUUUAGGAACAUAGUAUAAUUUAUCUGCAUGAUUGCAUUUUAAUUAGCAUUCCUAUUGCCUAUUUAAACAUUCAAAGAUAUAAAACAAGCCAACCAAACAGGAAUACAUAUAGCCAAGGCGUUUGCUAUCGUGAUGUUCCCGAGCACUGCCUUGGGAUAAGGCUCAGGGCAGACUCAAGCUUUAAUAGUCUGAACUGGUCCAAAAUUAACCCAUUUAUAUGCAUGAUAUUUUACAUAGGGGUUAGCCUUAGUAGCAAUUGUUGGUAAUGAUGGGUCUUUGUAUAGCCCUAAGUAUCUCUGACAUUCUUUGGGAGCAAAUUAGUCGUUUUUAAAAUUAAAAAUAAAUGGUUUUGUAGAGGACAUUUCUUUCCUCACAAGGCCGAUGUGGUGGUUACGUGUGGCUGUGGAGUGCUGGGAUGCUGAGGGAUAUGCCCCGCUUCCAGGGUGUAAAGAGGUUCACUAGUGUGUGUGACACUAAGGGCUAAGAAGGGCAGGACCAAGGAUUCAACCCAUAAGAGCAGACUUAAUCUUGGAGACAGAGCCUAGCUUCUUUAGAGCACAGCCGCCAGCCGUUGUUUAGCCCAGUGUCUGCUGCCGUUCUAAGAGCAUGCUUUCAAAAGUUUGAGCCUAAGCUAAUAAGAUUCAAAAAUAAAGGAAAAACAAGGAGAAUUUGCCUUUCUGUGCUUAUAGCUUCCGAUAUCUUUCUAUGGAACAUCUUCAUGGGCUCGGCAGUUGUGGUCAAUGCUAAUUCUAGGCCUUUUUGGUAGGGGCCAUGAAGGAUCAGGUGAGUUAUAGGUUGGGCUGCUGGUCAGCUAGUUAUGAAGAUCUAUUAGUGAUAUGUAGUGAUUGGUUUUAUAUAGUUGUUGAUAAAUGUAUACAGUAGUCAUAUGGUAUAGAAAGACACUCAGAAGCAGUAAGGCAUGUGGAUGAUGAAGUGAUGGCAUGGCUAUUAUGACAUCACAGUAUAACCCAUUGUAAGUUUCUGGUGAUGCUGCUGUUAACAAAUCUGUUGGGUGGCUAGUCCUUAUAGUCCUGUAAAUCUGUGGCAUAUAUAAUUACGUACCUUGUAUAAUGCUGAUAAUGGUAAUAAAUGACCAUGUUAUCUU